UCAGGUUUCGCGCUGGUCCCGCGCGGCGCUGAGGGACGCUGCGCGCGAGCGGCUCGGCGGGCCGCGAGGUGCCAGGGCCUCGCGCCGCGAUUUAAGGGGCGUCGUGCGAAAAGCGAAGAGGCCCCUCCACCCCCACGGAAACGACAGGGCAGCGCGAGCCCGUGCACCGAGAGCGAGCACCUGGGGCACCGCGCACCUGGCGCCAGCGGCGCGGGCUCGGCCCCACGCGGGGAGGAACCGGCGACCGGGCCGGCGCGCCCCGCGUGGACACGGCGGCACGGGCGCAGGCACCCGGCACGGGGGUCGCACGUGGGUACGGUACAGCUGGAACCUCUGAAACAAGUUUCUGGUUGCCUUUGUGUCUUUGGAAGAAAAUACAAAGAAAAAGCUUUUAAAAACCCCACAAAGGCUAGAGAUGGCUGUUAAAGUAGUUACCAUAAUAUCGUUGAUCAAGCCAGUCUCCUGGAAACGAUAGACAGACGACAACUCCAUAACAAGAAGACCUAAAGUUUUUUGGCAUCUUCAACUGAAAAAAAGCGCAGAAGACUAAUGAGAUUUCUGACAACUUGCCAAAAAGAACCGUAUUUACACAGAGCCUGAGCAUGGAAAA